rnacentral:rRNA from 1 species
GACGAACGCUGGCGGCGUGCCUAAUACAUGCAAGUCGAGCGGAUUGAUGGGAGCUUGCUCCCUGAUAUCAGCGGCGGACGGGUGAGUAACACGUGGGCAACCUGCCUAUAAGACUGGGAUAACUUCGGGAAACCGGAACUAAUACCGGAUAAUCCCUUUCCUCUCAUGAGGAAAGGCUGAAAGAUGGUUUACGCUAUCACUUAUAGAUGGGACCGCGGCGCAUUAGCUAGUUGGUGAGGUAACGGCUCACCAAGGCAACGAUGCGUAGCCGACCUGAGAGGGUGAUCGGCCACACUGGGACUGAGACACGGCCCAGACUCCUACGGGAGGCAGCAGUAGGGAAUCUUCCGCAAUGGACGAAAGUCUGACGGAGCAACGCCGCGUGAGUGAUGAAGGUUUUCGGAUCGUAAAACUCUGUUGUUAGGGAAGAACAAGUACGAGAGUAACUGCUCGUACCUUGACGGUACCUAACCAGAAAGCCACGGCUAACUACGUGCCAGCCGCCGCAGUAA